UCAAGGCAGGGGCAACAAGAACACAUAAUGUGAGGUCGAAUGUGGGGUAGGAGUGAAAUGUCUAAACUGAAG
rnacentral:lncRNA from 1 species